rnacentral:rRNA from 1 species
CAAUAGCGUAUAUUAAAGUUGUUGCGGUUAAAAAGCUCGUAGUUGGAGUUCUGCCAGGUGACGCUCGUCCGCCCAAGUGGUGUGUACAGGGCGUGCAUCUGGCCCUUUCAAGGGGAACGUGUCUGCACUUUACUGUGUGGUGCGAGAUCCUUGACUUUUACUUUGAGGAAAUCAGAGUGUUCCAAGCAGGCUCUCGUCGUGUAUAGCUCAGCAUGGAAUAAUAGCAUUGGACUUCGUUUCUAAGCUGUUGGUUGCAAGAAGCGAGGUAAUGAUGAAGAGGGAUAGUUGGGGGCAUUCGUAUUUAACUGUCAGAGGUAAAAUUCUUGGAUUUGUUAAAGACGGACUACUGCGAAAGCAUCUGCCAUGGAUGUUUUCAUUGA